GCCUGGAAUCUGGACACACAGGGCUCCCCACGCCCCUGACUUCUCUGUCCGAAGUCGGGACACCCUCCUACCACCUGUAGAGGAGCGGGAGUGGAUCUGAAAUAAAAUCCAGGAAUCUGGGGGUUCCUAGACGGAGCCAGACUUCGGAACGGGUGUCCUGCUACUCCUGCUGGGGCUCCUCCAGGACAAGGGCACACAACUGGUUCCAUUAAGGCCCUCUCUCGCUCAGACGCCAUGGAGCUGGAUCUGUCUCCACCUCAUCUUGGCAGCUCUCCGGAAGACCUUUGCCCAGCCCCCGGGACCCCUCCUGGGACUCCCCGGCCCCCUGAUACCCCUCUGCCUGAGGAGGUAAAGAGGUCCCAGCCUCUCCUCAUCCCAACCACCGGCAGGAAACUUCGAGAGGAGGAGCGGCGUGCCACCUCCCUCCCCUCUAUCCCCAACCCCUUCCCUGAGCUCUGCAGUCCUCCCUCACAGAGCCCCAUUCUCGGGGGCCCCUCCAGUGCAAGGGGGCUGCUCCCCCGCGAUGCCAGCCGCCCCCAUGUGAGUUGUCCCUCAGAAGGGAAGGGAGGGAUGCAGGGGUUCUGGUUCUGUGGGAGAUACACAGCCGCUUCCAUGGAGGCGGGGGAUCUUGGUUAGGAGUCCCUGAGGGUCUAGCAGGUGCGGAAAGGGAUGGAAUCACCCUUUGCCUCCCCUCAAGUCGUGUGCAAUUCCUGGGGCACAGGUAGUAAAGGUGUACAGUGAAGAUGGGGCCUGCAGGUCUGUGGAGGUGGCGGCAGGUGCCACAGCUCGCCACGUGUGUGAAAUGCUGGUGCAGCGAGCUCACGCCUUGAGCGACGAGACCUGGGGGCUGGUGGAGUGCCACCCCCACCUAGCACUGG
rnacentral:sRNA from 1 species